rnacentral:misc_RNA from 1 species
UUGAUUGGUCGAAAGACCUUAUCAGAUUCUACCACCUCUGUGAACCGUUGACCUCCGGGUUAAUAAUCAAACAUCAGUGUAACGAACGUAGGAGUAUCUUAAUUAAACA